rnacentral:sRNA from 1 species
UGUAUCUGAGGUCUGACGAGGAUGAGAACCUCCGGGGGCAAGAGGUUCGACUCGAGCGAAGCGAGAGAACGUUGCGCCAGCAACGGCCCGCAGGGCGAGCCACGCAGUGGCGAGUCAUCCUCUAUCACCGACCA